AUUCUGCCCAUGCGGGGAAGGAUGAGAAGCUUCGACCAAGGUUCGACUCGAGCGCCAGCGAGAGAGCGUUGCCGCAGGCAACGACCCGAAGGGCGAAGCGCGCAGCGCUGAGUAAUCCUUCCCCCACCCACN
rnacentral:sRNA from 1 species